rnacentral:snRNA from 1 species
GGAUGUGAGGGCAAUCUGGCUGCAACAUCUGUCACCUCCCUGAUCACCAGGCAGAUCUAGUGGGUGAAGUGAGUGUCCCCUUUUCCCCUCACUCCUUCCUGUGCAUUCUACUGAUGCCGAACUGAAGAGGACAACCUUCCUCAAUAGAGAAGGGCUGUUCCUUGGGCAAGGGUGUACUAAUAGUUACAGGUCCCUUCUAGAAUCUCCACAGAACCAGUGACUUGAAUUACCUAUGAUGUGACAAUGACUACCGAUUGUAGGUCUCCAUCUUAGAUAUCCUUUCUGAGU